GACUUUCUCAUGCUCUCUUCCCACAAGCCAACAGUUCCAAAGCCGUGAGAUUUCUGCUUCUGCCAACCUAGAGCUGAACGGUGCACCAUCUCAGUGACAGCUUCCUUGCAGGCUGACCUACUUUGACCAAUGACUUUCAGGAUUGUCCUCCUCCAAGCCAACUGCCACAUGUGAACGCUAGCCUGCUGGAAAGGGCACACGGAGAAUAGUGGUGUCAUGAGUGAUAGCCCCAACCAGUGACCAGUUGAGUGAUGGAAGCCACCUUCCACAGGCAAGCCAAUGAACCAAAAAUUUGAUUCUGCUCCUAGAAUUGCCAGGAACACGUCACCUCCUUAGCAGGUGCUCGGAACAUAUUUGGAAGAUGAGUCCCCUCGUAUCAGUGCACAUUCCUCAGCAAAAAGUCACAGGCUGCAAAACUUCAAAAAAAAAAAAAAAGCAGGAAAACGGUGUAUGUGCUUCAGAGAGCCACCCACUGUGCCAAGCACGGCGACGUAAGCCGUCUCAUUUGAACCUCCUCACAACAGGAUGGGAACUGCAUAAUCUGGGCACAGUGCCCCAUGCCUGUGCCCUAGCACUCAGCGAGUUGAGGAAGGAAGACCAGAAGGUACAGGGUCAUUCUCGGCCAUAUUUGCGGUUUGCGGCCAGCCUGGGAGACCCAGACUUGGGCUAGUGAAGAACUGUGGAUAUGAACUGCAGGAUUGCUGUAAGGAACAGCUGACACCCUGAACUCUGCACGGAGAACGCUGUAGUGAGAGAACUGUCGGGGAGAGAGGAACAUGGUACCAAAGUAGGAAUGGGUGAGGCUCUGUGUGCCCACAGGACAUGUCCUUUCAUGGGUUGUGGGUCAGGUUCAGCCACAGUGUGAUUGCUCAGCUGAUGUGUGUAUGCUAAAGGGCAGGGUCCAUGCAUUAGGAGUGGCUGGGCUGGGCUGGUGUGGUGUGCUGUGUUUCCCGUGGGGAUGGCGGUGAUUCAUUACCCUUCCCAGCCCGCUCAGCUUCUAUCAGGGUUCAACUUGUAGUAAACAAGUCAGAAAAUGCCAUCUGGGUGAGAAAGAGACGGGGGGGGGGGGGGGGGCGGGGAGCUUCCGAGGUGACCCUCAGUGUCCUGUCAGCCCCAAAUCUUCCUGGAAACUACACACUGGAUCCACAGAGCUCAGAAUCUCUCUCACCAAUGGCAGAAAACCCUUCUUCACCCAAUUUCCGAUCUUUUUUUUUUUUUCUGGAAUGUUCUAGAAACUCUACUCUCCUGGGAUGAUUCUGAGAUAUAACCACUCCAGCUUGCGCUGGGGGUGGGAGUGGGGGUGGGUGUUCUGCUGCCCAGAGGAUAUCUGUUGGGGUGCUUCUGGGAGGUGUGCAUCAAUAAAUCAACCUGUGCAUGCUAUUAAUCAACAGUUUCCCUGAAGUCUGGCCAGCGAAAUUCAGGCUUGUUGUCUAAGUGAGUAGGUCUGACGUUCUCGGAGCAGAGAACACAGGAGACACAGUUCAGCCCGCAAGAUGAAUAAAACCACAAUCACAACAAGAGCACAACUAGAGGAACGAUUAAUUGUCAGAUUGUGAGAGUCUCCCUUGGUUCACCAGGGCUUUCAAAAGGACAGGUAAGACUAGCCAGUUUGCCCCAAAAAUAGGCCAAACGAGACUGGAAGGGCUUGAGCACUAGAAGUUCAAGGCUCUGACCCUGGGAGGCUGAGGCUAAGAUGGUUCUAGGACUGGUUCCCUCUGAGGCUGUGAGCAAGACUGUUUAACUCCUGUCUCGCUUCUGCUGGCGACUAGCAUUUGUUUGUGUCUGCUAGUCUCUACCGUUGAAACAACCACAUCUGCACAGACCCCGUUCCAAGCAAGGUUGCAUUCUGAGGUACGGAGGUCUAGGAGUUCAAUCCAUGAAUUAUGGAUGGCGACACAUAAUUUAACCCAUAGCAUAACCAGAAGCGGGUUCCACAUAUGGAUCACGCACAGGAUCUUCUUUUGCCAGUCCACACAGAUCGCCAACGAGUCUUCCCGAAAACGACUUGCACUCCCCCGGCCCCGCCCUUCGAGGUGGUAGCCGGCCUCACCUUAUCUUACUUGCAACUCAGGUGUGACUGGCCCCACCCUGGGUAAGAGGUUACUGUGAGCAACCAACACUGGGAGAUCAUGGAGGAAUGGGGCCAAGAAGGGACCUCAGGAUAAAAAUAGCUCCAGCAGUAGGGGUAGGUGGCGUGUGACCAGAUGACCUUUGCCCUUUGAGACUUUGAAAGUCACCAGGUUGGGAUGACUCAGCUCUCCGCUCAUCACCUUGGGGAAGAGUGACCGUACAUGGGGGGGGCGGGUCACUUCUCUUUUCCUUCCUCCCCUGGCAGCUCUUCUGGAGCUUCCAGAAGCCUGAAGAGGAUCCCAUGACGACACUGAUGUAAUCCUGUGUGCCCUGUAAAAGGGGGGUGGUGGAUCAGAACUGAACUGUCUUUCAAAGCAGGCUUUGGACUGAGCGCUCUGGACCCAUUAAUGCAAGGUCUGACUCUUCCAGACUGAGAGACUGCUGAAGGAAGAAGCAGUGACCCACGGCUGAGUACAGUGGCCAGGGUUCCAGGGUACACAUCUGUCAAUUCACCCCUCUGGAGGCAUGGGCUGCUGGAAGUGAGUUCCGUGAGAAACUGUUUGGUAUAAUCCGUGAAUACUGAGAGAACUGUAGGCUGUCUGUGGGGAAGAGGGAGCAGGUGUUGCCCUCUCGCCUGUGAAUCACUAGGGAGGUGAAAGAGUUCAUACAGCCAACCAGGAAGCAGUCACUCUGACAAGCCAAGCGAAGAGAUGUUUGGCCACCUGCAUCUGACUUCUAGAUCGGCUUCUGUUCUUGGGACCAGCAAUGCUUGAAUGAAAAGCUCUGCUGAUUGCCUGCUGCAGAGAAGCCUGGACCCACAGGGCACCGGGCAUGAAGGAAAGCAAGCGGUUCCGUGUUGAAGGCAAGGGUCUCUGUCCUGCAGCAGUGAACUUCCUGCCUUUGAACCCACUCACCACACUCCCUUUACGGAUCUCAGGGAAACCCCAGAGCCACGGUGCAACCCCUCCUCACCCACAUAGGCCCGCUCCCUGGCCCAGGUACGCGUUGGCUUCUUACUGGGACUUGAAGCAGCACACGUGGGCUCUGGUUCUCACCCACCACUCUCAUCAGGCGGGGCUUCCCCAGAACAAAGGGUGCCAUCUGCUCAAGGACAAACCCAGACUUCAUUUCUGUUGGUAUCUUCUUUCACCAUCUUUCCUUCCUUAGGCUGUAUUUUAAAUAUUCUCAGUCAUCCUAUCAGACGGAAUGUGUUUCACUAAAAUGUCAACUUUGUACAGUAAAUGGGUGACCCGUGGAGGAAAAAGGCCACCUACAGGACGCAUGAACAGGUUUGCAAAUUGUAGACCUGAUAAAGGACCAAUAUCCGGGAUAUACAAAGCACUCCUACAAACCGCUGCCACAGCCAUCAACAGUGACAGAAACCGGGGAGGGGGGGGAGGCGAUUCAGCCAAGCAAACACUUGUUUUUCUUCUACAAGUCAUAAAAUGGUCAAUAGCCAUGCCUCAAUGCAGGAGUCCCAGGAGAAAUGCAAAUCAAACCCACACCGGGCAGUGGUGGCGCAAGCCUUUAAUCCCAGCACUUGGGAGGCAGAGGCAGGCGGAUUUCUGAGUUCAAGGCCAGCCUGGUCUACAGAGUGAGUUCCAGGAUAGCCAGGGCUGUACAGAGAAACCCUGUCUCGAAAAACAACAACAAAAUACAAAACAAAACAAAACAAAACAGAAACUACUUCCCACCUAUCAGAGCAGCUACCAUGUAAAAACCAUUACUAGUGCUAGUAGGAUGCCCUGGACACUGUUGGUGGGAAACAAACAUGACUAACUCUGUAGAAUACACUCUUUAAAGAAAUGAAGGAAGGGAAAGGAAAGGGGAAGAGGAAAAGGAAGAAAUAGAAUUAUUGUAUGGCCCAGUAAUUCUGUUUCCAGGUAAGAACGCAAAAGAGUAUUUUAAAGGUCAUGGAGGCUGACAAGAUGGAGGAAGGGCAGGUUUAGCUGUACCUUCUGGGUCACCUGGCAGCCAUUGGUAGCUGUGUGGAAGGUGGUGGUCAUGUACUUGGAGGGCAACAAUAUUUUUGGCACUCAUCCUUCUGGAGCUGUAUUCGCCUUGGCUGGAAAACAACCAUUCCUACUUUCCACAACCCCGACAAAGACGAGAGAGGAAGCCUGAGACCUGGAGGGAGGGUAAAGGCACAGAAGGUCUCCUUAGGUAACAUGCCAGAAUGUUCCAGAAUACAGACUUUUGUGCUCAGACUCCACUUCAUAGCAAAGUCCCCUUAACCCCACCAUGGGCCUGCCUCCACACAGAGGUAAGUUGGAAACAUGGGUGCUUAGAAAGGCCUUAGAAGAAAACACAAAGACGCUGUCCAAAGCUGAGUGCCCAAGGCCGGGUGUCCAAGCCUGGGUGCCCAAGGCUGUGUGUCCAAGGCUGGGUGCCCAAGGCCAGGUGUCCAAGCCUGGGUGCCCAAGCCUGUGUGUCCAAGGCUGGGUGCCCAAGCCUGUGUGUCCAAGGCUGGGUGCCCAAGGCCAGGUGUCCAAGCCUGGGUGUCUAAGCCUAUGUGUUCAAGGCUGGGUUGGACAGCCUGGGUGUCCAAGGCUGGGUGUCCAAGACCAGGUGUCCAAGCCCGUGUGUCCAAGGCUGGGUGCCCAAUCACCCAGGCACUUGCCAGGCACCAUCGUAGGCGCACCGGGCCCAAGAGGAGAGGAUGUGGGUUUGAAUAAGACCCAGACUUGGCCCACGUUUGUCGAAAGUGUAACUGUGAACUCAGACAUCUAAAGAUGGAUCACAGAACAGUGACGCAGUUAGUGUAUGUGUGCCGAAAACUGAACAGAAGCAAAAACAAAGAGGACAAAACAAGAAACCCCUGAACUUAGAAGUGGCUGGAAUUCAAAUAUGCAUUUCCCCCGGAGGUGUAGGUGUGUAUGUGAAGUCUGUAUGCAAAAAGAGGCAGACACCGUUACUCUGCAGGGAGAUGCAAAUCCAAACCACAGUGAGAUGCCACCUCACACCCAGCCUACCUCGCUAAGGGAAAGGACAGAUCCUGACAAGUGUUCAAAGAGGUGAGACAUUGGAAUUCUCACAGCUGGCAGACAUAACAAAGCAGCUCUGUUAAACAGUUACUUUUCUCAAAGUUUAAAAAAUAGGAAAUGAAAGUUACAUAUGAGCCAGGGUUCUGAAAGAAACAAUGUCUAAGACUUUAAAUUCAGAAUUCUUUGUUCUUUCUUGACAAGAAAAAAAAAAGAAAUAAAAUUGCUCGUCAAUUUAUAC